AUGGUUUUCUGGCAAUGGGAUUGCUAUGAUCAGGAUUGUGUUUUUUCAGGGUGGGGCUCUUCCAGGCACACUUGGUUGGGUUGACCCCUCUGGUUUCCCCUGGUGUGGGAAACUCAGAUGCAUGGUUUUUGAUAGUGGGGGCUGUAUUUGAGCAGUUCUCUA